CCUACGGGUGGCAGCAGUGGGGAAUCUUGCACAAUGGGCGAAAGCCUGAUGCAGCGACGCCGCGUGGGGGAUGAAGCAUUUCGGUGUGUAAACCCCUUUCGAUCCGGACGAAUGCCCGCAAGGGAUUGACGGUACGGAUAUAAGAAGCCCCGGCUAACUACGUGCCAGCAGCCGCGGUAAGACGUAGGGGGCCAGCGUUGUUCGGAAUUACUGGGUGUAAAGGGUUCGUAGGCGGUGCGGCAAGUUGGGAGUGAAAUCUCUGGGCUUAACCCAGAGGCUGCUUCCAAAACUGCUGUGCUUGAGUGUGGGAGAGGCGCGUGGAAUUGCAGGUGUAGCGGUGAAAUGCGUAGAUAUCUGCAGGAACACCCGUGGCGAAAGCGGCGCGCUGGACCACUACUGACGCUGAGGAACGAAAGCUAGGGGAGCAAACAGGAUUAGAU
rnacentral:rRNA from 1 species